GAUGAACGCUGGCGGCGUGCCUAAUACAUGCAAGUCGAGCGAACAGACGAGGAGCUUGCUCCUCUGUCGUUAGCGGCGGACGGGUGAGUAACACGUGGAUAACCUACCUAUAAGACUGGGAUAACUUCGGGAAACCGGAGCUAAUACCGGAUAAUAUAUUUAACCGCAUGGUUCAAUAGUGAAAGACGGUUUUGCUGUCACUUAUAGAUGGAUCCGCGCCGCAUUAGCUAGUUGGUAAGGUAACGGCUUACCAAGGCGACGAUGCGUAGCCGACCUGAGAGGGUGAUCGGCCACACUGGAACUGAGACACGGUCCAGACUCCUACGGGAGGCAGCAGUAGGGAAUCUUCCGCAAUGGGCGAAAGCCUGACGGAGCAACGCCGCGUGAGUGAUGAAGGUCUUCGGAUCGUAAAGCUCUGUUAUUAGGGAAGAACAAGUGUGGAAGUAACUAUGCACGUCUUGACGGUACCUAAUCAGAAAGCCACGGCUAACUACGUG
rnacentral:rRNA from 1 species